ensembl:snRNA U1 U1 spliceosomal RNA
AUACUUACUGGUGAGGGAGAUAACAUGAUCACGAAGGUGAUUUUCCCAGAGCAAGGCUUACCCGUUGCACUCCAGAUGUGCUGACCCCUGAAAUUUCCCCAAAUGUGGGAACUCGACUGCAUAAUUUGUGGUAGUGGGGACUGUGCUGGCUCAUUCACCUU